UCCCCACAUCCGUGUCAACAUGGUUCUAAGCACAGAUGCUGGCGGGAAGGAAACACCUGCUCAGCGACAGCAUUGGAUGCUGUCCAACCAAAUUACCUGGGUCCUCCCCGGGUCCUUUAGUGUGUGGCCACAUCUGAGUCUCACUCGCAAAUACCGUUUCCCGUGAUUUUUUGUCAUUGUAGUGAGUUUAUGUGGCAAGAAAACAUCCGCAUGAUACCCAAGCACAUGGUGAUUCUGACUCUUCAUGGAAAAGUCCCGGAGGCCCUCUGGCUAUGGACAGGGCCAACCUCUCUCAGCUGGCCUCAGGAAUCAGGAGGAACCAUGUUUUGCGGAUUCUGCAAUCUAAACCUUGCUCUAACCUGUCUUCUCUACAUCUCCAAGGCCAGAAUGUAAGUUCUGUAAGACCAGGGAUCUUGUCUAGCUCGUUUGUUACCAUGUUAUUAGCAUAGGAUAAUGGUUAAGACCAUGGACGCUGAAGCCCAACGAUCUGAGUUCGGAUCCUCCAUCAUUUACUGGCUGUGUAAGCACCUGUAAAUCACAUCACCUCCUCUCCUUCAGUUUCCCCCUUUGUAAAAUGGGGGUGAUGCUUGCCCUGAGGCAUAGGGUUGUGGCGAGGAUUAAAUCAGUUAAUGGCUGUAUGGUGCUCAGAACCAAGCCAGGCACCUGGUGAACACUCAGGAAGCAUUGGCUAUUACUAGCAUAGCCUGUCCCCUGCACAGUGCUUGGUUUAUAAAUGCAUUAAAAAGUGUACUGGCUUGGGGUUGUCGCUGUGGUGCAGUCGUUAACGAAUCCGACUAGGAACCAUGAGGUUGCGGGUUUGGUCUCUGGCCUUGCUCAGUGGGUUAAGGAUCCAGCAUUGCUGUGAGCUGUGGUGUAGGUGGCAUAUGAGGCUCGAAUCCCGCGUUGCUGUGGCUCUGGUGGAGGCCGGCGGCUACAGCUCCGAUUAGACCCCUAGCCUGGGAACCUUCACAUGCCGUGGGAGCAGCCCUAGAAAAGGCAAAAAGACAAAAACAAAAAAAUGUACUGGCUGGAUUUCCCGUCGUGGCUCAGUGGUUAAUGGGCCCGACUAGUAUCCAUGAGGACAUGGGUUUGAUCCCUGGACUUGCUCAGAGGGUUAAGGAUCCGGUGUUGCCUGUGAGCUGUGGUGUAGGUUGAAGAUGAGGCUUGGAGCCUGUGUUUCUGUGGCUCUG
rnacentral:lncRNA from 1 species